rnacentral:rRNA from 1 species
AGGCUGCAACUCGCCUACAUGAAGUUGGAAUCGCUAGUAAUCGCGAAUCAGAAUGUCGCGGUGAAUACGUUCCCGGGUCUUGUACACACCGCCCGUCACACCACGAGAGUUUACAACACCCGAAGUCAGUGGCCUAACCGCAAGGAGGGAGCUGCCUAAGGUGGGGUAGAUGAUUAGGGUGAAGUCGUAACAAGGUAAC